rnacentral:rRNA from 1 species
UACGUAGGGUGCAAGCGUUAAUCGGAAUUACUGGGCGUAAAGCGUGCGCAGGCGGUUUUGUAAGUUUGUCGUGAAAGCCCCGGGCUCAACCUGGGAAUUGCGAUGAAGACUGCGAGGCUUGAAUCUGGCAGAGGGGGGUAGAAUUCCACGUGUAGCAGUGAAAUGCGUAGAGAUGUGGAGGAACACCGAUGGCGAAGGCAGCCCCCUGGGUCAAGAUUGACGCUCAUGCACGAAAGCGUGGGGAGCAAACAGG